UACGUAGGGUGCGAGCGUUAAUCGGAAUUACUGGGCGUAAAGCGUGCGCAGGCGGUUGAUUAAGUCUGAUGUGAAAGCCCCGGGCUCAACCUGGGAACGGCAUUGGAAACUGGUCGGCUGGAGUGUGGCAGAGGGGGGUGGAAUUCCGCGUGUAGCAGUGAAAUGCGUAGAGAUGCGGAGGAACACCGAUGGCGAAGGCAGCCCCCUGGGCCAACACUGACGCUCAGGCACGAAAGCGUGGGGAGCAAACAGG
rnacentral:rRNA from 1 species